UACAGAGGGGGCAAGCGUUGCUCGGAAUUACUGGGCGUAAAGGGCGCGUAGGCGGCCUUCUAAGUCGAACGUGAAAUCCCCGGGCUCAACCCGGGAACUGCGUCCGAUACUGGAAGGCUUGAAUCCGGGAGAGGGAUGCGGAAUUCCAGGUGUAGCGGUGAAAUGCGUAGAUAUCUGGAGGAACACCGGUGGCGAAGGCGGCAUCCUGGAGCCGG
rnacentral:rRNA from 1 species